CGCCUUGAAAUUUGCCGUGAUUUCGCAUACCUCUGUUCCGUUCCCGCAAGGGGACUAUGGACAUAAACGCGCCCGUAAUAAGCGGAUCGGACCCGGGGGCGGUACCCGGCGGCUCCACCAAAUUCCCUCGUUGGGGGAUCAUGGGGCCGAAAUAGGAUCGACGGACGUCUAAAGGGGUUUGCUUUGUCCCGGUGAGGUACCACCGAUAUCGGUCCAAACUGCAUAGUUGCCAACGACAACAAUGCUCCGGUCGCGCUCGCUGCCUAAGCAGUGCGCAAAGCCGAAAAUUAAGCCCUUGCGCCUAGCAGCGUAAGGCGGGGCCCGCCGGAGCCUGGCAACAGAAUCCGGCACC
rnacentral:tmRNA from 1 species